rnacentral:rRNA from 1 species
UACGUAGGGCGCAAGCGUUGUCCGGAAUUAUUGGGCGUAAAGAGCUCGUAGGCGGUUUGUCGCGUCUGCUGUGAAAACCUGAGGCUCAACCUCGGGCUUGCAGUGGGUACGGGCAGACUAGAGUGCGGUAGGGGUGACUGGAAUUCCUGGUGUAGCGGUGAAAUGCGCAGAUAUCAGGAGGAACACCGAUGGCGAAGGCAGGUCACUGGGCCGCAACUGACGCUGAGGAGCGAAAGCAUGGGGAGCGAACAGG